CCUGGUGAGCAUGACAUGGCUCCAGAGAAAUCUGUCACAGAGUUGGAGAAAUAAAGAAAAACAGGAAAUGCUCUGGGCAAAUAUCAGAACAGGACUCCCUGCAGUAUGAGCAUUUGGGGAUGGGUGCUGCAGAGGGUGAAGGAGCAGGGAUGCCAGCAGUGGCGGGGCCUUCAUGGGCAGACACUCCUCUGCCAGCCAAGGUGUGGAGGAACACUGGGCUCCACCCAGACCAGGACCUCAACAGGGUCAGGGAAAAAGCCAGUCAGGACACUUUCCUGCCAUCCCACCUGGAGUUUCGUGUUCUCUGUGGGGCAGCAGCUUGAUUUCCUGGUCCCAGGGAUUCUGCCUCAGGCUCUGGAGAACUGGGAGGAAAUUGAGGAGAUUAGAGAUUAGCAAACCCUGGAACACUGAUUCUGGUGAAUUCAAGCCCUUUUGGAAUCUUUUUCUUCUGGAGACAGAGUUGGGCUUUAUGUCAGGGAGAGAAUGUUCAGCUGGAGCCUGCCAGCCUGAGUCAGCCUGGAGCCAGAGGCCUGGCAGGAGUGGACAAAGAUGGUCUUUAUCCACCAGGAAUGCAGUGACCUCACUAUGGCUUUCCUCUGCUGGCUUGGGCUUGUGUGUACCUGUGAUCCAGCUCGAACCAAGCAGACAAGAGCAAGGCCCUACAACAGCCAUUUGCAAACUUGGAUGUCACUGGACUUGAUACACAGCCAAGUUUAGGAACUGCUGCUUUAGAAAAUACUGGCAAAACAAGACAGAAGGAACCUGGGUCCCUGGAUGACCGCACGGAGCAGAACCUCCCUCCCAUGGGAACAUUUACCUUGAAGAGUUACAUGAGAGAGACAUCAACCUCUAUCUUAUUUACCCUUACAAAGGCCAUGAAAGAGACAUUUAGGGAGUUAAAAGGAAACCCUGAUUGCACUUAGAUGCCUGUAAUAUCACCAAAUGCUCAUGAAAUUCAAGAUACCAGCAAUCACUUGCUUGUACACACACACACACACACACACACACACACACACCUCACAUACUUUUCUGCAUGGCUCUCUCUUUCCCAGUCACUAUUAGGGUGGUAAUCAGCUAGAACCACAACUUUCCCAGCUUCCCAUCAAACUCUGAUUAAUGGGAAACUUUCUCCACCUGCCUUCCACCACUCCAAGGCAGGCCAAGCUCCAGCUUCCUCCUUUAUA